GGAUGCUUGUAAGCAGCCCCUCUGCCGGAGGCGGGGCACUGGCCCUGUCCAGCGCUGCUGCAGGGCGGCGGCGGCGGCGGCGGCGCGGGAGGGGCGCCCGUCACGGGGCAAUCGGCGGAAGGAAAGAACCUGUAGUAGAGAUCGUGGACCCUCUCCGGUAUGCUCUUCUCCAUCUCUCGCUGCAAAGCCCUAAAAAGAUUCUCCAGGAGUUAGGGCUCCUCCGCAUUUUAACAAGCCAUGAGCAUCAUCGACAUGCUCGUCCGGGUGGACGCCAUCUGCAAGAAGUUUGACAAGUAUGAUCCGUCCAAGCAGCACAAGGACCUCAACAUCAACCCGGAUGACCACUUCUUGCAGCUCUACACCACAAUGGAGGCCGAGAUCGAAGCUACCGUCAAGAAAGCGAACGAGGCCGCCGAGGAAAAGAACAGAGCCGCCGUCGCCACCAUGAAUGCAGAGAUACGACGGACCAAGGCAGCUCUGCGCGAAGAGAUCCCGAAGCUCGAGAGGCUGGCCAAGAAGAAGGUGGAACAACCCAACCGUCUCUAAUAACUCAACCAUUCUCUGCUCCAUUCCCACUCCGUCUUGCUCUCCUCAAGGUGAAAGCACUAUCUCCGGAGGAUCUUGCCGCCCGUCCAGACCUUGUUGUUGCCCUGGCAGCCAGAAUCGAUGACAUCCCCGAAGGCACCAUGAUGGGGGCCAAGAAGAAGAAGAAGAUCGACAAGUCACACAUUGAGAUCAAGAUCGACUCUGCCGCCGCUGACGAAGCUUUCAGGUCCGAGAGGUACGAACACACGGCGGAGUCAGCAGCCUACCAGGAAGAGUUUCAACACAGAAAGAACAAGCAGGUAUCCUAAGCCUUUGUUGUCUCGGAUGGUGCUUUGUACCUCUGGUAUACUUUGGAACCUCCAGGAUCAAAACCUCGACAUCAUUUCAGAAGGCUUGUCGACGCUCAAAAACAUGGCGGAAGAUAUCAGUGAGGUUCUGUGCUGCGCCCUGCACCCACUAGUGUCAUCUCAGAACCCGCAUGCGCCUGUCUCAGGAGCUCGACAAGCAAGAUCCCAUGGUCGGCGAAAUGGAAGAGAAGGUAAACGCUGCUAUGUCCAGCGCAAUGUCUAAUUGGACCUGGAUGGCUACUGUCGCAGAUUGAUAAAGCAACGGGGGACCUGACCAAGAACAAUGCGAGAAUGAAAGAGGUGGUGUCGAAGGUAAUCUCUUUCUCCUCGUUCUUUUGGUGACUCUGCUCAAUUCCUCAGUUGACAGAUCCGAUCGGGAAGGAACUUCUGCAUUGACGUUAUACUGCUUUGCGUCGUCUUGGGCAUAGCUGCCUAUAUCUACAAGGUGCUCAAGAAAUGAUCAUGUUUUGGGAGGUUGGCAAUUCUUACAUUUCUAUUGGUUUGCUGGAUUGCUCACGCUCUUCAAUUUGGCCUCCACCAGUGCCAGUGUGGCGUCCAUUCGCAAGAUCCUCCUGUUUGACAUCACUUUUAUCAACAUAGUGCAGAAGAAACGCCAGGAUUUUUACUGGUGUAAAUGACUAAGCCUUGUGUCACAGGCGCUCGAGACCUUGUUGAGGAGCUCCACCGUGUUGAUUAUAAAGACAUUCACCUGAUACAUCAGAUAGUCACUGAUUUCAUUCGCACUGCCUACCAGAAAGAGCGUCCGCUGGUCCACCUCGUGCUGCAUCUCAAUGAAAUCCAAAGCCCUAGGUGAGCAAACCUUCUGAUGUACAGCUUUUUUUUUUCCUUGUGCUACCACUGGAACUUGGCGGCCAGCAGCACCUCCUCGUACUGCUGCGCGGCGUGAUCCCAGCUCAAG